ACGAACGCUGGCGGCGUGCUUAACACAUGCCAGUCGAACGCUGAAGACCUGGCUUUUGUUGGGUUGGAUGAGUGGCGAACGGGUGAGUAACACGUGAGUAACCUGCCCUCUUCUUUGGGAUAACGCCCGGAAACGGGUGCUAAUACUGGAUAUUCACUGGCCUUCGCAUGGGGGUUGGUGGAAAGGUUUGUUCUGGUGGGGGAUGGGCUCGCGGCCUAUCAGCUUGUUGGUGGGGUGAUGGCCUACCAAGGCUUUGACGGGUAGCCGGCCUGAGAGGGUGACCGGUCACAUUGGGACUGAGAUACGGCCCAGACUCCUACGGGAGGCAGCAGUGGGGAAUAUUGCACAAUGGGCGAAAGCCUGAUGCAGCGACGCCGCGUGAGGGAUGGAGGCCUUCGGGUUGUAAACCUCUUUCGCUCAUGGUCAAGCCGCAACUGUGGGUUGUGGUGAGGGUAGUGGGUAAAGAAGCGCCGGCUAACUACGUG
rnacentral:rRNA from 1 species